UACGUAGGGUGCGAGCGUUGUCCGGAAUUACUGGGCGUAAAGAGCUCGUAGGUGGUUUGUCGCGUUGUCCGUGAAACUCAACAACUCAAUUGUGGGCGUGCGGGCGAGUCACGGGCGAGACGUGGAGUACUGCAGGGGAGGACUGGAAUUCCUGGUGUAGCGGUGGAAUGCGCAGAUAUCAGGAGGAACACCGAUGGCGAAGGCAGGUCUCUGGGCCACUACUGACGCUGAGAAGCGAAAGCAUGGGGGAGCGAACAGG
rnacentral:rRNA from 1 species